UUGCCUACGGGAGGCAGCAGUGGGGAAUAUUGGGCAAUGGGCGCAAGCCUGACCCAGCAACGCCGCGUGAAGGAAGAAGGCUUUCGGGUUGUAAACUUCUUUUCUCAGGGACGAAGAAAGUGACGGUACCUGAGGAAUAAGCCACGGCUAACUACGUGCCAGCAGCCGCGGUAAUACGUAGGUGGCAAGCGUUAUCCGGAUUUACUGGGUGUAAAGGGCGUGUAGGCGGGAAAGGAAGUCAGAUGUGAAAACCAUGGGGUCAACCUGUGGCCGGCAGUUGAAACUGUUUUUCUUGAGAACUGGAG
rnacentral:rRNA from 1 species